rnacentral:pre_miRNA from 1 species
GCUUUAACAUGGGGGUACCUGCUAUGUAAAACAAAAGUAAGUGCUUCCAUGUUUCAGUGG